GUAACAAGGUUUCCGUAGGUGAACCUGCGGAAGGAUCAUUGUCGAAACCCGGAAAAAAC
rnacentral:rRNA from 1 species